ACUAAAUUAGUAUUAGUUAUGUUCUUGAAAAUUAAAAAAUUUGGCGGUAUUUUAGUCUUUUCAGAGGAAUCUGUCCUGUAAUUGAUAGUCCACGAUUAAAUUUACUUUAUUUAUUAAUUUACAUAUCGUCGUAGUUUGAAUAUUUUAAAAGAAUAUUAAUAUUCAAAAUUUUAAAUUAAAAAAUAAAUCAGAUCAAGGUGUAGUUUAUAAUAAAGAAGAGAUGGAUUACAAUAAAUUUAUUUUAGGAUAAUUUAUUUAAAAUAAAUUUGAAUUUGGAUUUGAGAGUAAUUUUAAAUAUU
rnacentral:rRNA from 1 species